rnacentral:lncRNA from 1 species
AGUAUAGUCCCACAAAGUGGGUUCUCGGGAAGGUAAUAUGUAGACCAGCCAUACCCCUACCCGAAAGGGCAUAGAGGUUGUUUCCAAUCGACCUUCGGCUCAGUGAAGGAAAGGAAAAACAAAAAAAAGACAAAAAAGCAUUAGUAACUCCAGCAGAAAUAGCGUAUAUAAUUAUCUAAACAUAAGAACCAUAAAUAAA